rnacentral:rRNA from 1 species
GCCUAAUGGUUAAUUAUAUUAGGUAGUACCUGCCCAAUGAAUUAGGUUUUAAAUGGCCGCAGUAAAUUGACUGUGCAAAGGUAGCAUAAUAAUUUGUCUUUUAAUUGAAGACUGGAAUGAAUGGUUUGACGUAAAAAAAGCUGUCUUUAUUAUUAUUUUUGAAAUUUACUUUUAAAUUAAAAGGUUUAUAAAUGUUAUUAAGGGACGAGAAGACCCCAUUAAGUUUUAUAAUUUUUUAUUAGUUAUUCUUUAAUUAUUUAAUUAAAUUAUUUUUCUGGGGCGGAAUUAAUAGUAUAUCUUUUAUUGAAUUAUAUAAUUGUUAAAUUUAUUUAUUGAACUUUUAUUAGAAAUUGAUAGAUUAAAUUACUAUGGGGGUAACAGCGUUAUUCUUUUGGAGAGUUCAUAUUAAUAAAAGAGAUUGCGACCUCGAUGUUGGAUUAAUUUUCCUCAUAAUGAAGUAGUUAUGUUAAAAAGGUAAGUCUGUUCGACUUUAAUAAAUUACA